rnacentral:rRNA from 1 species
GACGUAGGAGGCGAGCGUUAUCCGGAUUCACUGGGCGUAAAGCGCGUGUAGGCGGCUCGUCAAGUCGGUUGUGAAAGCCCCUGGCUCAACUGGGGGAGGUCAGCCGAGACUGUCGGGCUGGAGGCUCAGAGAGGAAGGUGGAAUUCCCGGUGUAGCGGUGGAAUGCGUAGAGAUCGGGAGGAACACCAGUGGCGAAGGCGGCCUUCUGGCUGAGGCCUGACGCUGAGACGCGAAAGCGUGGGUAGCAAAC